rnacentral:rRNA from 1 species
AUGCCGCCUAUGUACAAUCCCCGUCGCCCGUCGCCAGUUCGCCAUCCAUCCACCGAUCCCGUCUACUCCUCCUUGACCACGGCGGCGACGCGCGCGGCAAUGGCGAUCUCCUCCGGGCCGGCGGGCGCGGCCACGGCGGCCCCGCGCCGCAGGACCAGGUCGACGGUGCUCCUGAUGGCCAACUACGCGGCGCUUCUGAUCGGGUCCGUCGUCUCCAGCCUGCUCUCCCGGUUCUACUUCCAGCACGGCGGGCAGAACAAGUGGGUGGUCACGCUUGUGCAGUCCGCGGGGUUCCCGACGCUCGUUGUCGCCGUGUUCCUCGCCGGCCGCCCCGCGUCGGCGCCUCGGCCGUUUCUUUGGUUCUCGCGGAGGUUCUUGGCCGUGUGCCUGUUCAUCGGCGCGCUCAUGGGCGUCAACAACCUGCUCUUCGCCUACAGCUCGUCGCUCCUGCCGGUGUCCACCUCGUCUCUGCUGCUGUCCACGCAGCUUGCCUUCACGCUCGUCCUCGCCGUUGCUAUCGUCCGCCAUCCGCUCACCUUCGUCAACCUCAACGCCGUCGUCCUCAUGACGCUCUGCUCCGUGCUCCUCGCGCUCCGGUCGGGCGACUCGGGGGAGAGCCCGGACAGGAAGGGGUACAUCAUCGGCUUCGUCGUCACGCUCGGCGCCGCGGGGCUCUUCUCCGCGUACCUCCCCGUCAUGGAGCUGCUGUACCGGGAGGCGGUCUCCGGCGGGUUCAUCCUGGCGGUGGAGGUGCAGGCCGUGAUGCAGGCCAUGGCGUCCGUCGUGGCGGCGAUAGGACUCGCGGCGACCGGCGGUUUCAGCAACGAUGUGGCCCACUGGAAGGGGUCCCACGCCCUGUACUGGGUCGUGGUUGUGACGCUGGUGGUGACGUGGCAGGCGUGCUUCAUGGGCACCGCCGGCGUGAUCUACCUAACUUCGUCGCUCCACAGCGGCGUGUGCAUGGCAGCGGUGCUCACGGCCAAUGUCAUUGGCGGCGUCGUCGUGUUCGGCGACCCUUUCGGCGCCGAGAAGGCCGUCGCCACCGCGCUCUGCGUCUGGGGCCUCUCCUCGUACCUCUAUGGCGAGUACACCAAGAACAAGAAGAAGGCCGCUGAUGAUCAGGACGACGACACCAUCCUCCCCGGCGCCCGUGACGACGGCGAGCACAAGAGCCUCACCGCCGGCAGCCGCGAGCCGGGAAGCGAAACCGUCUGA